UAAUAAAAAGUAUUUAUAGUCAGAGAACCUUCCUCUUUAGUGUCCAUCCUUCUUCUUCUUUCUACUUCACCUUUUCUCAUAUAUCCAUUUGUAUGUUUAAAGCAACACUGCAUAUCAGUACAACCUGCUCUGCUUCUACCUCUGCUGGUCAUCGUGGUCAAGUCACCAUCUCCAUUGCAAUUUGUCAUCUUCUUCAACUAAACCCUAACUUUGGGUAUAAAUUAGAACUUAACACAACCACCAUCAUCGCCGACCAGUUUUCCGGCAACCUCGCACCACCAUGGCAAAAGUAUUGAAUCGAAAGCCGCCGCUCCUCAUUCUGUUAUCCCUCAAGCACUGUAAUGGCAUAUAGUAUUAUUGGCUGCAAAACUCCACUCUCUAAUUGAGGCUGGCCAGAAUUAUAAGAUAUGGUGCACCUGUUGGCUGGAGAUUUCGUUUGAAGAAAAUGUACUUUGAAGGAUUAGAGAUUUGAAGAAAAAUGGUUACUGAUGACCAUUUCGAAGAACAAAUGGCUACUGAUGGCCAUGUUCGAGAAUGUUGUUUAAGUUAAAAUGAAGAUAAUGAGUAUUGGAGCUGGUUCAAGAUAAAUUGUCUUUUAAGGACUUAAGCGUUUUUGCGAAAUGCGAAGGGUACUGAAGCUUGGCGUGUUUUCGUAGCAUUCUCGGUUUUGAUCACGUUGCCACGUAUCGAAAGAGAAUUCAGGCGGGAUGAUUUGAAUUUCGAAACAAUCUGUGUAACCGAACAAGGACAGAUGGCGCCCCAGGGAUGCGAAGCGUAUGCAUGUGAGCAACGUGGCAUCUUAUUAACGUAGGACCGUUAGGGUCAAAAUUAGUAUAAAUAAGAGUCUUAAUGUUAGGAUUUUGUGUGUUCAUUUUUGUACAAAUCACUCACAAAUCACUCAAGUAUCAAGCGUUAAGAGAACGAGUUCGCUGAGAAAUGUACAUAUGACACCACCAUCUUUAAUAUGUUUGUAUUCAUUUUAAUACAAGUAUCU